rnacentral:rRNA from 1 species
UACGAAGGGGGCUAGCGUUGCUCGGAAUGACUGGGCGUAAAGGGCGCGUAGGCGGAUGUGUCAGUCAGACGUGAAAUUCCCGGGCUUAACCUGGGGGCUGCGUUUGAGACGGCAUAUCUAGAGUGGGGAAGAGGGUCGUGGAAUUCCCAGUGUAGAGGUGAAAUUCGUAGAUAUUGGGAAGAACACCGGUGGCGAAGGCGGCGACCUGGUCCUUUACUGACGCUGAGGCGCGAAAGCGUGGGGAGCAAACAGG